rnacentral:rRNA from 1 species
UACGGAGGGUGCAAGCGUUAUCCGGAUUCACUGGGGUUAAAGGGUGCGUAGGAGGGCAGGUAAGUCAGUGGUGAAAUCCCCGAGCUUAACUUGGGAACUGCCGUUGAUACUAUCUGUCUUGAAUAUUGUGGAGGUGAGCGGAAUAUGUCAUGUAGCGGUGAAAUGCUUAGAUAUGACAUAGAACACCAAUUGCGAAGGCAGCUCGCUACACAUAUAUUGACUCUGAGGCACGAAAGCGUGGGGAUCAAACAGG